UACGAAGGUGGCAAGCGUUGUUCGGAUUUACUGGGCGUAAAGGGCGCGUAGGCGGUCGUGACAAGUCACUUGUGAAAUCUCCGGGCUUAACUCGGAACGGUCAAGUGAUACUGUCGGACUAGAGUACAGAAGGGGCAACUGGAAUUCUCGGUGUAGCGGUGAAAUGCGUAGAUAUCGAGAGGAACACCUGCGGCGAAGGCGGGUUGCUGGGCUGAUACUGACGCUGAGGCGCGAAAGCCAGGGGAGCGAACGGG
rnacentral:rRNA from 1 species